GAUGAACGCUAGCGGCAGGCUUAACACAUGCAAGUCGAGGGGUAACAGGGAUUGCUUGCAAUCCGCUGACGACCGGCGAACGGGUGCGUAACGCGUAUGCAACUUACCUUUUACUGGGGGAUAGUCAAGAGAAAUUUUGAAUAAUACCCCAUACGAUCUGACUCACUCCUGUGAGAUAGAUGAAAAUUACGGUGGUAAAAGAUAGGCAUGCGUCCUAUUAGUUUGUUGGUGAGGUAACGGCUCACCAAGACUACGAUAGGUAGGGGUCCUGGGAGGGAGAUCCCCCAAACCGGUACUGAGACACGGACCAGACUCCUACGGGAGGCAGCAGUGAGGAAUAUUGGACAAUGGAGGCAACUCUGAUCCAGCCAUGCCGCGUGCAGGAAGACGGCCCUAUGGGUUGUAAACUGCUUUUAUACAGGAAGAAACGUUAGUACGUGUACUAGCCUGACGGUACUGUAAGAAUAAGGAUCGGCUAACUCCGUGCCAGCCGCCGCGGUAACAC
rnacentral:rRNA from 1 species